rnacentral:rRNA from 1 species
AUACGUAGGGGGCGAGCGUUGUCCGGAAUGAUUGGGCGUAAAGGGCGCGUAGGCGGCCUGUUAAGUCUGGAGUGAAAGUCCUGUUUUCAAGAUGGGAAUUGCUUUGGAUACUGAUGGGCUUGAGUGCAGGAGAGGUUAUCGGAAUUCCCGGUGUAGCGGUGAAAUGCGUAGAGAUCGGGAGGAACACCAGUGGCGAAGGCGGGUAACUGGACUGCAACUGACGCUGAGGCGCGAAAGUGUGGGGAGCAAACAGGAUUAGAUACCCUGGUAGUCCACACUGUAAACGAUGAAUGCUAGGUGUAAGAGGUAUCGACCCCUUUUGUGCCGGAGUCAACACAAUGAGCAUUCCGCCUGGGGAGUACGGCCGCAAGGUUGAAACUCAAAUGAAUUGACGGGG